CGAAGUGGCUCUUCAAGCCACUUUGCAGCUGGACACACGUUGCCACCCUCCGUCAUCGUGUGUCUGACUAUGGUGAGCGUGUUUGGCUGCAUGGUGCUGCCGUGGAUGGGCCAGAAAGACAUGCUGUUGGAGAGGACAAGAGGAAGACGAAGGAGGGACACGCAGCAUGAUGCUGCGUGUGAGCAGGUGUCUCUAUCAGCUACGGCCUGCGCCAACCCGAAGCGACCU